UAUUGGACAAUGGGCGAAAGCCUGAUCCAGCAAUGCCGCGUGAGUGAAGAAGGCCUUAGGGUUGUAAAGCUCUUUCGGCGGGGACGAUGAUGACGGUACCCGCAGAAGAAGCCCCGGCUAACUCCGUGCCAGCAGCCGCGGUAAUACGGAGGGGGCAAGCGUUGUUCGGAGUUACUGGGCGUAAAGGGCGCGUAGGCGGUGCAGCAAGUCAGGCGUGAAAGCCCCGGGCUUAACCUGGGAAUUGCGCUUGAUACUGUUGCGCUAGAGAUCGGGAGAGGAUGGCGGAAUUCCCAGUGUAGAGGUGAAAUUCGUAGAUAUUGGGAAGAACACCGGUGGCGAAGGCGGCCAUCUGGACCGCAUCUGACGCUGAGGCGCGAAAGCGUGGGGAGCAAACAGG
rnacentral:rRNA from 1 species